CUUUAUGUUAUCAUUUACUUGGUACAUGAAGAUGUUUCAUCUUGAAAAUGAAAGAUAGACUAUACUAGGAACAAAAUUCUUGAGACUGUUGAGGUGUGCCUUUAUAAAGCAUAUUCUCAGCUUUUAAUGCAUUUUCAAUCUAGUCUUUAAUUUGUUUCAAUUAGGCUCAUGAAGUUUGAUUACUCUUCAUUUUCAAUUGUACCAAUUAGGGUCAUAAAGUGGUUCAAAGAGCUCCAAGAGCUUGAUUCACUCAUUUUAUACUUUUCAUGUAAAACUUCUUUCAAAAAGCCAAAACAUCUUUCAUUGUAAAUAAAUUUAACCAUAGGUAACAAUCUUUUAUCUUUUCUUUUGGUUUUUUGUUGCAUUGUUUAUGUGGUGAAUUGCGCGGAAAAUGGGGGAGAGGGGUACAAUUUAUUUAAUUUGAGCAAAAUAGUAGCAUUUAAGCUUAGUUGGUUAGUAAGGAUUAGAGUCAAUAAGGCGUCAUCUGUCUAGCUAUAUCUAAAAUUUGAAUUCGUUGAAUAAUGAAUGAGGUUGUAGUGAGAGAAAUUGAGAAAGUCAAGAAAAGAAGAUCCAUACAGUAUGUUAUAUGUUUCGAGAUAUCUCAACAUCUUAAUUUCUACUCUCAGGUUGCUGAAAGUUUGUAAUUUUACUUGCUACUUGAUUAUAAAAAUGUAAAACAAAAUCUGUACAUGAUUUACAAAUUUCUAUUUGAUUUUAGACGUUUUUCUGGUGUAAGGCAUAUGUUGCACAUGCAUGUAAAUGGUACAAAUUGUUUUGGUUUUGGACAAUAAGCUUUUGAGUUUUACAACCCUUGCAAGGGGAUUGUGAGUCCAACAAAUUUAGUGUUGGGGGAUACAGUUUGGUUCUCCUUAAUACAUAAUAUAACAAAGGCCUAGAAAUUUUCCUUUAAGGAAUAUGCAAAUGUUUACGCAUCUUGGCCUGCAGUUUGUAUGAAAGGGCAGUAGUUCUUGUUAUCUGCAUUGGUGCAUUUGAGGGUGUGAUUCCAUUUUUACCGCCUUUUUAGGUUUGAACAUUUGUGCUUGACAACUUAGCUGCCCGAACAAGAACGGAACACUUUCUGUUUUUUGGUAAUUGCUAAAACAUGUGCCUAGCCUGUAGGACAUAUAUUUUGUCGUCUUAACUGCAGGGGCAAUAUGUGUUAACUGCUAGUUACUUCUGUUUCAUACAAUAACAAGGCUUCUGCAUAUUUUUGCCUUUGAACAUUUGUUCUUGGAAAAUUAGCUACUUGAACAAGUACUGAACAUUUUCUAUGUUUUUUUAUUAAGUGCUGGAAUAGGUGUGUUUGUAUCAUACUUGACCAAUCCCGAAACUACUGAGCACCGGUCAACGUUAUACCAUCAAUGACCCAUAAGAGUUUCCCUCCAACCAGGAGGCCAAUCACAAUGCGACACGUGUCAACAUCAGAAGCCAAUCACAGCGCAACACGUGUUAACAUCAGAAGCCAAUCAUAACACGACACAUGUCAAUGUCAGAACAAAGCUAGAAACUCUUCUAUAAAAGGAGAUCAUUCUCCCACAAUAUGGCCUAAUAUCAUUUAUACCAAAUCAUUCACUAGUACUCACUAAAGGAGAGCUUGAACCUAUGUAUUUGUGUAAACCCUUCACAAUUAAUGAGAACUCCUCUACUCCGUGGACGUAGCCAAUCUGGGUGAACCACGUACAUCUUGUGUUUGCUUCCCUGUCCUUAUCCAUUUGCAUACUUAUCCACACUAGUGACUAGAGCAAUCUAGCGAAGGUCACAAACUUAACACUUUCUGUUGUACUAAAGUCCUCACUGAUUUUGGGCAUCAACAAGGUGUCUGCCCUGCAGGACACAUAUUUUGCCAUCUAAACUACACAAUGUGUGUGAACUGCAUGUUGUUUUUGUUUCUUCUGUUUCUUAUGGAAACAGAACUUUUUAGGCAACCAUGCCUUUGUGAUCAAGAGCGUUCAGUUUCUUCCUACUAAUUGUGCAAUGUCUUUACAUGUUAGUUCAGUUGAAUGCAAAUAAAAGCCAAGCUACUUAACUUAUCGACCUCAUUCUCAUGUUUCCCUCUGUUCAUUUAUGAUUGUGUUGAAUUUAUUCAGGUUAAAUGUGUCUUAUUCAUACAGUUAUGGCUGAAACAAUGUUUCAUGCCGCAAUGCGCGAGCUUAUUUUAUAAUCUAUUCUAAAGUUGGAGGGAAAUUGGCACUGUUCAUGGCUACAAUCAAUUGUUUGCCCCUCGAUUUCAUGCUAUUUACAACAAAACCAUUAGAUCUGGGCUGGGUUGGGAAGUUAAUUCUUAAAAGUUAGGGGGUAAUUGUGUCCGUAGGUUUGAGCCGAAUUUCACUUUAUUUACAAAAUUGGCACUACCUUUUCUUU
rnacentral:lncRNA from 1 species